GGGAGGCAACCCAGUGGAGGUGAUUUGCCCAAAUCAAUGGGCAAAUCAGCAGAACUGAACUACAGCAGAGGUGAUUUGGCCAAGUGAUUUGCCCAAAUCAUUGUCCAAAUCAGCAGAACCUCCAACAGCUGAUCAAUCUGCAGAAUCUCAUAUUGACAGAAUGGAGGCUCGAAUCAUACACAUGGAAAGCAUGCUGUAGCUGCUGGUUCAACACUUCAUACCUGCAGACCAC
rnacentral:lncRNA from 1 species